AGAGUUUGAUCAUGGCUCAGAUUGAACGCUGGCGGCAGGCUUAACACAUGCAAGUCGAACGGAACCUUCGGGUUUAGUGGCGAACGGGUGAGUAAUACCUAGGAAUCUGCCUAUUAGUGGGGGAUAACGGCUCGAAAGGGUCGCUAAUACCGCAUACGUCCUACGGGAGAAAGAGGGGGAUCUUCGGACCUCUUGCUAAUAGAUGAGCCUAGGCCGGAUUAGCUAGUUGGUAGGGUAAAGGCCUACCAAGGCGACGAUCCGUAGCUGGUCUGAGAGGAUGAUCAGCCACACUGGAACUGAGACACGGUCCAGACUCCUACGGGAGGCAGCAGUGGGGAAUAUUGGACAAUGGGGGCAACCCUGAUCCAGCCAUGCCGCGUGUGUGAAGAAGGCCUUCGGGUUGUAAAGCACUUUAAGCGAGGAGGAAGGUCUUUAAGCUAAUAACUUAAAGAAUUGACGUUACUCGCAGAAUAAGCACCGGCUAACUCUGUGCCAGCAGCCGCGGUAAUACAGAGGGUGCAAGCGUUAAUCGGAAUUACUGGGCGUAAAGCGCGCGUAGGCGGUAUGUUAAGUCGGAUGUGAAAUCCCUGGGCUCAACCUAGGCAUUGCAUCCGAUACUGGCACACUAGAGUGUGGGAGAGGAAGGUAGAAUUCCAGGUGUAGCGGUGAAAUGCGUAGAGAUCUGGAGGAAUACCGAUGGCGAAGGCAGCCUUCUGGCCUAACACUGACGCUGAGGUGCGAAAGCAUGGGGAGCAAACAGGAUUAGAUACCCUGGUAGUCCAUGCCGUAAACGAUGUCAACUAGCCGUUGGGCUCCUUGAGGGCUUAGUGGCGCAGCUAACGCGAUAAGUUGACCGCCUGGGGAGUACGGUCGCAAGACUAAAACUCAAAUGAAUUGACGGGGGCCCGCACAAGCGGUGGAGCAUGUGGUUUAAUUCGAUGCAACGCGAAGAACCUUACCUGGCCUUGACAUGUCUGGAAUCCUGCAGAGAUGCGGGAGUGCCUUCGGGAAUCAGAACACAGGUGCUGCAUGGCUGUCGUCAGCUCGUGUCGUGAGAUGUUGGGUUAAGUCCCGCAACGAGCGCAACCCUUUUCUUUACUUGCAGCACUUCGGGUGGGAACUUUAAAGAUACUGCCGGUGACAAACCGGAGGAAGGCGGGGACGACGUCAAGUCAUCAUGGCCCUUACGGCCAGGGCUACACACGUGCUACAAUGGUCGGUACAAAGGGUUGCUAACCCGCGAGGGCAUGCUAAUCUCAAAAAGCCGAUCGUAGUCCAGAUUGGAGUCUGCAACUCGACUCCAUGAAGUCGGAAUCGCUAGUAAUCGCGGACC
rnacentral:rRNA from 1 species